CGUUGAAACACAGGUUUCCCUAUGAUCACCGGAGUUAAGCAACAUUGAGCCUGGUCAGUACCUAAAUGGACGACCGCUUGGGAAUAUCAGGGGCUGUAAG